rnacentral:rRNA from 1 species
GACAGAGGCCUCAAGCGUUAGGCGGAAUCACUGGGCUUAAAGCGUGUGUAGGCGGAUCGUUAAGUGUCUUGUGAAAUCCCACGGCUCACCGUGGAGCUGCUGGCAUACUGGCGAUCUUGGGCCAACUAGGGCAACUGGAACAAGCGGUGGAGCGGUGAAAUGCGUAGAUAUCGCUUGGAACGCCAAAGGUGAAACAGGUUGCUGGGUUGUG